GUUCAAACAAGGAAGGGCUUAUGGUGGAUACCUAGGCACCUAGAGACGAGGAAGGGCAUGGUAAGCGACGAAAUGCUUCAGGGAGUUGAAAAUGAGCAUAGAUCUGGAGAUUCCUGAAUAGGUUAACCUUUUUAACUACUACUUAAUCCAUGGGCAGGCAAGAGACAAGCUGGAAAAAUGAAACAUCUUAGUAGCUAGAGGAAUAGAAAGAAAAAAUGAUUCCUAUAGUAGCGGCGAGCGAAAUGGGAGCAGCCUAAACCGUGAAAAUGGGGUUGUGGGAGAGCACAAUUUAAGCUCUGUGCUGCUAGGUGAAGCGGUUGAGUCCUGCACCUUAGAUGGUGAGAGUCUAGUAGCCAAAAGCAUCAUUGGGUUACUCUCUAACCCGAGUAGCAUGGGGCACGUGGAAUCCCAUGUGAAUCAGCAAGGACCACCUUGCAAGGAUAAAUACUCCUGGGUGACCGAUAGAGAAGUAGUACCGUGAGGGAAAGGUGAAAAGAACCCCCAUCAAGGAGUGAAAUAGAACAUGAUACCGUAAGCUCCAAAGCAGUGGGACGAAAAUGAUAACUCUGACCAUGUGCCUAUUGAAGAAUGAUCCGACUACUUAUAGGCAAUGGCUUGGUUAAGAGAACCCACCGGAGCCAUAGCAAGAGUGAGUCUUCAUGGGGAAAUUUUCACUGCUUAUGGACCCAAACCUGGGUGAUCUAUCCAUGACCAGGAUGAAUCUUGGGUGAAACUAAGUGGAGGUUUGAACCAACUGAUGUUGAAAAAUUAGUGGAUGAGUCGUGGUUAGGGGUGAAAUGCCAGUCAAACCCAUAGCAAGCUAGUUCUCCCCGAAAUGCGUUGAGGUGCAGCAAUUGACUGGACCAUCUAGGGGUAAAGCAUUGUUUUGGUAUGGGCCACGAGAGAGGUACCAAAUCGAGGUAAACUUUCAAUACUAGAUUUCCACAAUAAAAGAGGUAAAGGUCAGCUAGUGAGACAAUGGGGGAUAAGCUUCAUCGUCGAGAGGGAAACAACCCAGAUCAUCAGCUAAGGCCCCUAAACGACCGCUUAGUGAUGAAGGAAGUACGAGUGCAAAGACAGCCAGGAGGUUUUUCUAGAAGUAGCCAACCUUGAAAGAGUGUGUAAUAUCUCACUGAUCAAGCGCUCUUUCACUGAAGAUGAAUGGGACUAAGCGAUUUGUCGAAGUUGUGGGAUGUAAAAAUACAUCGGUAGGGGAGCAUUCCGCCUCAGAGGGAAGCACUGGCGCAAGCAGGUGUGCAUGAAGCGGAAGAGAUAAUGUCAUCUUGAGUAACGCAAACAUUGGUGAGAAUCCAAUGCCUCGAAAACCUAAGGGUUCCUCCGCAAGGUUCAUCCACCAAGGGUGAGUCAGGGCCUAAGAUCAGGACGAAAGGCGUAGUCGAUGGAAAAUAGGUUAAUAUUCCUAUACUACCCCUUGUUGGUCUCGAGGAAUGGAGGAGGCUAGGUUAGCCAAAAUAUGGUUAUCGGUUCAAGGACACAAGGUGACCCUCUAUACAUUGAUUUAAAGGUAAAAGAAGAAUCAAAUAUAGGUGUGUACAAGGUGAGGUUGGGGGUGGAUAUUCCUCAUCAUAUACUCUAGCACACAAAAAUCCAAGAUGGCUUAUCCAAACAUUAUAGGAUGCACAAAAUCAUGUAGGAGCACCCAUAUCAUCAAUGAGGGUGAGUAUACCUCCUAGGAUAUAUGUUAACCAUAUUGUAUUAGAUUCUUCCAUUUGUGAUCUUUACAAUUGUUUUGAGAAGGUGAUGUGUGAUACUUUGUUGGAUGAGUGUGAUGUUUGGGGGGUAUUUCCUUUCUGGGAGACAAUGGUCGAUUUCGAGGUUGCAACGUGUUCAAAUUUGCAGAAGGAAAGUUUGUUUGAGUUGAAAAGGGAGAAAAAUGAUGUUGGUGAAAACACUUUCCUCAUAAAGAGGGUGUGUUUUCUUUGAAGGUUACUCUGAAAUUAUUUGAUUGAGUUGCAAAGGAAGCAUAAAGAUGUUGGUGAAAACACUUUCCUCAUAAAGAGGGAGUGUUUUCUUUCGAGGUUACUCCAAAAUUAAGUUACACCAUACUUAAGGGUGCUUCAUGUGAUGUGGGAUGCAUGGUGUAUUGAUAACCUUUAGUUGACGUGAUGGACAUAAACAUUGGAGUUAGCUUUCCCAUUGAUUGUAAGACCUUAUCUUGAUGCAUAUGUGGCAUUAUUCCUUGGAGCAUUGGAGACCUACAUGGCUAGUGUAUUUCUUCAUGAGACAAAAAUGGAGGUUGAUUGCUUCCUUGGGAUGAUGGUUUUCCUUGGAGGAGGAUAAUUGGGCAUCUUGGAGGAGGGAAUUGAACCCUAGAUGGCACAGGGACACUUGGUUUCUUACAUGGAGACUUGGCCUUGACUUGAGGACACUUGGGUUGAAAACCAAUCAUGUAAGUGGAAUUGACCCAGAGGUAUACAUGGCCUAAGAGGGAGUGUUGGAGAAUUGCAGACCAUUGGAGGAGGAGUGGUACACACACCUCGUGGAGCGUUCAACGUUCAAUCCUUUUUUGUUGGAUGUGCUUCCCUUGGAGCUUGGCAUGUGUGAGUUGGAGUGCUCCACAUGUGGGGAUAUUUAGUAAUUAGAUAGAUUUUUUGUUAUGGACUUGAUCCACUUUAUGAUUUUUUCUUCCUUGACUUUCAUAUAAAUAAAUUGAGAAGGUAUUUUCAUCACUUGUACUUCUUCACUCAGAGACUCACAUGCUUGUGUUAGAUAUGUGAGACUAGGGUGAACUUGUCUUCUUAUACUCUUCUUCAUGUGUAUUUUAUUUAUGGUUGAAUCCUCCUUAUAUUUUCUUGUCAUAAGUAGUAUUCACUUUUUUGUUCUGCAUUACUUCUCUAAUUCUAACAAAAACACAAUGGAAACGAAAUAUAAAUAGAGGAAGGUCAUCUCUUUAGUUGAUAAAAUUAGGGAAAGUAAUAAAUAUGGAGAACAAAAAGAAAAAAAUGAGUAGGGAUCUUCAUGGAGAAAAAAAGAGCUAACCCUAACCCUAACUCGAUUGGAGUCUUGUGAUUUUGGGGACAAAGCCCAUGAAAUUACCAUUCUCAAUGGCCUCCUUCUUUUUCUCUAUUGCUCUAUCCUUUAUGUGGAUCUUGGCCUCCUUAUCUGUCGCUAUCCCUUGACUUUCUCUUGCCCAGCUCGUUCUAUGUGUCUUGGCCUCCUCUUUCCCUAGCUCUUUCCCUCUUCUUGGCCUCCUUCUCUUUCCCAACAUCUAUUAGCUUCUCUCUCGUGCAAGAGAAGUCAUGUGAGUGUGCUCUAGCUCUUGCCCUCCUCUUCGCCUCCUUCUCUAUUGUGAAAGUGCACUGUGAGUGUGCUUUAGCUCUUACCCAACUCCUAUUCACCUCCUUCUCUGUCGCGCGAGUGCACUCUGAGUGUGCUAGUCUAGCUCUUUCCCUCAGCCUCUUCGCCUCCUUCUCUGUUGUGUGAGCAUGUGUAUUUUGGGCUCUAAUUUGAUCAUGAGUGUGAUACACGCGGUCUUUAGUCAUGUAGUUUUUAAUUUCUUUGUUUGAAUUA
rnacentral:ncRNA from 1 species